UACCAGCACCCCCGAGUGGUCGGGACGAUUAUUGGGCCUAAAGCAUCCGUAGCCGGUUUUACAAGUCCUCCGUUAAAUCCAACUGCUUAACAGAUGGGCUGCGGAGGAUACUAUAAGACUAGGAGGCAGGAGAGGCAAGCGGUACUCAGUGGGUAGGGGUAAAAUCCGUUGAUCCAUUGAAGACCACCAGUGGCGAAGGCGGCUUGCCAGAAUGCGCUCGACGGUGAGGGAUGAAAGCUGGGGGAGCAAACCGG
rnacentral:rRNA from 1 species